rnacentral:rRNA from 1 species
GAUGAACGCUGGCGGCGUGCUUAACACAUGCAAGUCGAACGAAGCACUUAAUGAGAUUUCUUCGGAUUGAUUAUUUUGUGACUGAGUGGCGGACGGGUGAGUAACGCGUGGGUAACCUGCCCCAGACCGGGGGAUAACAGUCGGAAACGACUGCUAAUACCGCAUAAGCGCACAGUGCCGCAUGGCACGGUGUGAAAAACUCCGGUGGUCUGGGAUGGACCCGCGUCCGAUUAGUUAGUUGGCGGGGUAACGGCCCACCAAGACCGCGAUCGGUAGCCGACCUGAGAGGGUGACCGGCCACAUUGGGACUGAGACACGGCCCAGACUCCUACGGGG